AAAACAAUGACCUCUCUGCACAGUCUGCCCAACAAACCAGGACCGGAAGUCUUCUUCAAAUGCUUUGACUUCGUACAGUUGCAAGUUGCCACCGCCGCCGCUCAGCAUGUAGAGGGAAGCUGCAUCUGCAUAAACAUGACAAAUUAAAAAAGAGAGCGGGAGUACAGUUGAGUGGCCAGAACGUGCAUAUGGACUGGAAGUUCUACCUGUGGCUGGAUUCCGUAGCCUCACAAAGGUCGGGUCAUUGUCCUUCCUCUGGCUGUCUAUCGCGGAGUCUCCAGGCAAAGUCAGGUAGGUGACAAUUAAACACUUCAUGCAAACAUCGUACUCGGUCAAACUAAUAAAGGAUAAGUGCUCGACAAGUCUCGGAAAUCUUUGAAAGUAGCGACGCCUCCACGGUGCGCUAGCAUGCUAGCAAACAAACAAAUCAAGUAGUUUACACGACGAAAGGCACCGUGUGUUAAGCUAAUUUCGCCGGGCCGAGUGAAGACAGUGGUUACCUGCAGCAAUAACAACCCAGCUAUCGUUCUGCACGUUCGGCGUUCGCUUCUUUUUUGAGGCCAUGGUGAAACGUGGAACCCUGUAUAUAAAUGAUUUGCAGUUGUCACGCUGUGUGCGGUUUUGUUUUUCAAUUAUCGCUCAAAGACAACGAACCAAA